rnacentral:rRNA from 1 species
AGAGUUUGAUCCUGGCUCAGGAUGAACGCUGGCGGCGUGCUUAACACAUGCAAGUCGAGCGAAGCACUUAGGAAAGAUUCUUCGGAGGAUUUCCUAUUUGACUGAGCGGCGGACGGGUGAGUAACGCGUGGGUAACCUGCCUCAUACAGGGGGAUAACAGUUAGAAAUGACUGCUAAUACCGCAUAAGACCACAGCACCGCAUGGUGCAGGGGUAAAAACUCCGGUGGUAUGAGAUGGACCCGCGUCUGAUUAGUUAGUUGGUGGGGUAACGGCCUACCAAGGCGACGAUCAGUAGCCGACCUGAGAGGGUGACCGGCCACAUUGGGACUGAGACACGGCCCAAACUCCUACGGGAGGCAGCAGUGGGGAAUAUUGCACAAUGGGGGAAACCCUGAUGCAGCGACGCCGCGUGAGCGAAGAAGUAUUUCGGUAUGUAAAGCUCUAUCAGCAGGGAAGAAAAUGACGGUACCUGACUAAGAAGCCCCGGCUAACUACGUGCCAGCAGCCGCGGU